UUUGGCGGGGCUUUUGUCUCUCGCUGCAGCCAGAGCUUGGGAUCGCUUUCUGCUAUUCAACGUCCUCCACCUCUGCCCCCCUCUCGCCCCAGCCGGUGACAGGCUGUUGCCCUGUGAUCUGCAGGUCCUGGGACGUGCACAGACAGCUAAGAUGCCAGGACAUUCCAGAAGGUGGGAAAGGCACCUGAGUAAUUUGACUCUCCUGCCUGGACCCAGCGUACAGAUGGGAUUGUGCUUCAUUGCUGGACCCAGCAUUUAGGGAUCGUCACUCCCGUGGAUGAUCAAAGCUACUCCGGGGGCUGAGGCAGGAGAAUCGCUUGAACUCGGGAAGCAGAAGUUGCAGUGAGCCAAGGUCGCACCACUGCACUCCAGCCCAGGCGACAUUGUGAGACUCCAUCUCAAAAAAAAAAAAAAGAAAAAAAGUGUACUAACAAGACCCAGCACACAGAGGAGACUUUUACCAUUGUAUGAACACCCAUCAAACAGUACACAUCAUCAUUGUGAGUUCUGAAUCUCACACAUAGAGGAAGUCAAAGGUGGAAAACUUGACUCUCAUAUUUGGAUCCAGUCCACAGGUGUGAUUUUGACGCACACUUCUGCCCAGCACCUGAGUAAUGUGAUUCUUCAGAAUUGGCCCGGCCCACAAAUAGGAUUGUGCCACACUGCUGGACCCAGUGCCUAAGUGAUGUAACUCUAUUCUUCUGCCUUGGUGCUACUCGAAAAAGACAUUGUAACAUAUCUCAGAGCCUUACACCCAGGUAAUGUGAGUCUCCUCUUCUGCCUUGCUGCUGCACACAGAAGCGGAAUAUGUACAGGAUUGUUAAUCUCAUCUUGGAUCUUCCUGCACUUGUGAUUGUGACACAUGCCUCUGUGUAGAACCUGAGUGAGUUUACUCUCCUGCCUGGAUUUAACCCAUAGAUGGAAUCGUGACAUAUCACUGUACCAGAAACUAGGUGAUGUGACUCUAUUUUCUUGCCUCUGUGUUUUUAUAUGGGGCAUCGUGACAUAUCACUGGGCCUUGCACCCAAGUGAUGGGAGUUUUCUCUCCUGCUUUGGUGCCGUCCACAAUGAAAAUUGUGAAAUAUUGCUGCCCUCCCCACUAGGUUAUGUUACUCUCCUGCCUCUGCUUUGCCCACAUGGGUCACUGUGACAUAUUGCUGGGUCUAAAACCCAGGUAAUGUCACUCUCUUGUUUGGGUUCUGCCUGCAGGAGUCAUUGUCACAUAUCUCUAUGCUCAUCACCCAGGUAAUAUGAUUCCCUUUUACUGCUUAGUUCCUUCUCACAAAACAACUUGUGACAUAUUGCUAGGCCCAAUACACCUAGCUGGUGUAACUCUUCUUUUCUUUUCUUUCCUUUUUUUUUUUUUUUUUUUGAGAUGGAGUCUCACUCUGUUGCCCAGGCUGGAGUGCAGCGGCAUGAUUUCAGCUCACUACAGCCUCUGCCUCCUAGGUUGAAGCGAUUGUCCUGACUUGGCCUCCCAAGUAGCUGGGAUUAAAGGCAUGUGCCACCACGCCCGGCUAAUUUUUGUAUUUAUAGUAGAGACAGGGUUUCGCCAUGUUGGCUAGGCUGGUUUCGAACUUCUAACCUCAGGUGAUCCUCCUGCCUCGGCCUCCCAAAGUACUGGAAUUACAGGCAUGAGCCACUGCACCUGGCCUGAUUCUUCUCUUCUUUCUAGGUUUCAACUGCAGCAGAGAUUGUAACAAACCACUGGGCCCAGCCGCAUAAUGAUGUUACUCUUUUGCCUUGGGCCUGCCCUCAGAAGGCACUGUCACAUAUUCAUGGGCCCAACGCCAAGGUGAUAUGUGUCUCCAGCCUGGACCCUGCCCACAGGGGGCAUUGUGACAUAUCUCUUGGCCCAUCAGAUGUUUGAUUGUUAUCCCCUCCCCUCUUCUACCCUGUGUUUGCCUAUAAAAGACACAGUCAUAUGUUCCUGGGCCCAGCACCUAGGUGUUGUCUUACUGGAAUGUGUCCACAUGGGGAUUGUGAUAUGUCACGUGGCCCAGUACUUAACUUGAUGUGACUCUCCUCUCAUGCCUAGGCCUUGUAGAGAAUCCCCUUCCCCUUUUGUUUUCCUUUUUUUCUUUGCAGAUCCAGGAGAUAAUCAACUAAGAGCCAGGCACCCGUUUAGGUCUAAUAAACAUUUUACAAACUGCUCUCUCUUUUAAUUCACCUAUCUGAGAGAUUCCUCUGUACAAUAAAACUUGGUCUCCACAAUCCUUUACCUUAACCUAAACCUUCCCUUUCAUUGAUCCCAGGUCUUCAGAUUCCACCACUUGUCAACCACAAAAUAUUUAAAUUUACCUGGAAGCCGCCCGCUUUGAGUUGUCCCGCCUUUCUGAACCAAACCAAUAUAUUCCUGCAAAACCGGCCAUGAUUAAAACAUCAAAAA
rnacentral:lncRNA from 1 species